rnacentral:tRNA from 2 species
AAUGUUUUAGGUUAAGUAAACUUUAAGCCUUCAAAGUUUAAGAUAAAAAUUAUUUUUAAACAUUA